UGGGGAAUAUUGGACAAUGGGCGAAAGCCUGAUCCAGCCAUGCCGCGUGAGUGACGAAGGCCUUAGGGUUGUAAAACUCUUUCGUCGGGGACGAUAAUGACGGUACCCGAAGAAGAAGCUCCGGCUAACUUCGUGCCAGCAGCCGCGGUAAUACGAAGGGAGCUAGCGUUGUUCGGAAUCACUGGGCGUAAAGCGCACGUAGGCGGAUAGUUAAGUCAGGGGUGAAAUCCCGGAGCUCAACUUCGGAACUGCCUUUGAUACUGGCAAUCUAGAGUCCGGAAGAGGUUAGUGGAAUUCCCAGUGUAGAGGUGAAAUUCGUAGAUAUUGGGAAGAACACCAGUGGCGAAGGCGGCUAACUGGUCCGGUACUGACGCUGAGGUGCGAAAGCGUGGGGAGCGAACAGGAUUAGAUACCCCCGUAGUCCCUGAGCGGGCUGGCAAGGCGCAU
rnacentral:rRNA from 1 species